GCCCCUCAGUGUCCAGUCUGCCUUGGCUGGAGGGGCUGCAGGGGUGUGUUGGCGCCACCUGGUGGAGACAGGGCAUCACAGCAGAUAUUUGCACUCCUGGUUAUGAAGCCUUCACACUUGGACUGAAUACACCACCAGCUUUCCCGAUUUCCAGCGUGCAAAUGGCAGAUCGUGAGACUUCUCAGCUUCCAUAAUUACAUGAGCCAAUUUAUAUAUAUAAAUUGGGUCCUCCAGAAAAA